rnacentral:Y_RNA from 1 species
GGUUGGUCUGAAGGUAGUGAGUUAUCACUUGACUAUUCAGUCAGUUACAGAUUGAACUCCUUGUUCUACUACUGUCCCCCCUUCUCACUACUGCACUUGACUAGUCUGAA